UUUCUGCUCCUGUCUUUGAUACCUCAUGUGAGUGGAAUCAUGCAAUUUUUGUCCUUUGGUGACUGGCUUAUUUCUCUUAGCAUAAUGCCUUCAAGGUUCAUUCAUGUUAUAGCAUGUAUCAGACUGUCUUUCCUCUUUAAGAUCAAAUAAUAUUUCAUCAUGUAUUAGUACAAUCACAAUGUUUUGCAACUGUUACCUUUAUCCAGUUCUUACAUACAUCAUAUUUUGUCAUUUAUUAAUUGAUGGAUGCAUGAGUUGCUUCUAACGUUCUGCUGUUGUAAAUAAUACUGCUAAGAAUAUGGCUUACAAAUAUCUUUUUGAGUAUGUCUUUUCAUAUGCUUAUUAAAUAUUUCUUUAUCUUCCUUGGAGAAAUGU